AUCCUUGAUGAGGAUCAAAUCCUUUAUAUUCUUGGUGGCCUCGGGGAUGAGUAUAAUCCUGUAAUGGUAACUAUAACUUCAAAAUCAGAUGGCUGGACUGUCCAAGAUGUUGGAGCUCUUCUUUUGAGCUUGGAGU